rnacentral:lncRNA from 1 species
GGAUUCUGCUGUUUCUGAAAACUUUGCUGUAUAUAAACUAUAGUAAUUGAUAUAUAUUAACUUUUUAUUUUCAAGACUUUGUCUAAGCCUCAGCAUAAAGCUGAAGAAACCAAAUGAGUUCUACCCUUUCAUUGCCUGCUCUAAUAUGGUCUCAUGUUUAAUCACUGGAAUUCCUUUCAUUUUGGCCCUAAUGCUGUUUUCGCUUGUCUAAUUUGACACAGUAAUGGUAGUGAUAUGGUUGUAUUCAGUGUUGACCACUUUUUUCUAAGGUGGGAGGUGAUACCUAUACAGUUUGGCAAAUGGGUAAAAUACUGUGGCAUCAGUUAUGUCUUUCAAACAGAGAGGUUAUCAGUUUUAUACAAUCACUUGGUAUGGUCUAUGUGAAGAACCAAUAGACCAUUAUUCUUCUUGAGACCAUUCUUCUUCUUGAGGUCAGUUUGAUUUUUAACCCCAUAUGGUUGUCUCCAGUUUUUUGUUUUUUUUUCCUAUAAAUGCAGAUAGUUCAAAUCUAAAGGAAGAAAGUUUUCCUAAAACAGAUCAUUAGCCUUUAAGGUUGUUAAUACUUUAAGACCAUUUGUAUAUAGGUUAAUCUUUAUAAAGCACUAGAAUCUUUGGUCAAAAGUAAAAAAAGUUUAAAGGUAUUAGAAUAUUGAAAUCAUUGAU